AGGACAGCCAGAGCUAUGUAGUGAGCCCCUGUCUUGAGGAAAGAACUGAGUUCUCGGCACUAUUCCCCUUUAAAGCCACAGUUUUUCUUGUAUGGUAAUAUGGUUGCUAAUGCUUGGGCUGCAGGCCUUGUUGCCCACUGGCUGGCUCCCUCUGUUUUGACCAAUCCUCAACCUUGAAUAAAUGAGAGGAAAAGGCAGUUCAUAGAGGUCAGGAGAGACAUUGCUAUAGCUCACCUGCCUCUCAUAGAACCAGUAGAGACACUCUGUUCUCCAUUCACCCCCACUCAACAACCACCCACCCCCCACCCCACCCCACCCCCGCUUCCCUGGUGUAAUGCCUUGGUUAUGUCUUUAUUCUUCAGAUUGGCAGAAAAAAUGGAAGUCAGCAAAUCUC
rnacentral:lncRNA from 1 species